rnacentral:lncRNA from 1 species
AUAGAAAUAUGUUUUUUCCAUUUUUACAGGCAAACCACUUCAAUAGAACAUGGCUGGCGGCCAUAUGGACAUAUAUGAAUGCAACAAUUAAUUCAGCAAAGAAAGCUGCUUGUGGCAAGUCUUGAAUAUGCCAUUCCAGGUAGUGCUUUGAUGAUAAAUGAGGAGAAGAUUGCAAAGAAAAUGACAGCAACAUUUAUAAAAAGUGUCUGCUAUUCUUUUUCUAGGGCUGAUGGGAUAAAAUGAGGAUUCGGCAAAAGUGAAAUAUGGUCAAGUUUCCUCUCAAACAGAAUUUUAUGGCAGUAAAAGAAAAGCAGGAGUCACUAUAUUUAUGCAUUUGGCU